rnacentral:rRNA from 1 species
UACGUAGGGACCAAGCGUUGUUCGGAUUUACUGGGCGUAAAGGGCGCGUAGGCGGCAAUUCAAGUCAUCUGUGAAAUCUCCGGGCUUAACUCGGAACGGUCAGAUGAUACUGCUUUGCUCGAGUGCGGAAGGGGCAAUCGGAAUUCUUGGUGUAGCGGUGAAAUGCGUAGAUAUCAAGAGGAACACCUGAGGUGAAGACGGGUUGCUGGGCCGACACUGACGCUGAAGCGCGAAAGCGUGGGGAGCAAACAGG